rnacentral:lncRNA from 1 species
AUCAGGAACAGUUGUUUGCUGUUUUUCAGAACAAGAUUACAACAGUCAAAUGACACUAAAAGAUGGAAGAUACAAAACAAGCAAAGAAGGCGUUCUUUUACACGAUACCCAGGCGAUAAUGUUGUCCCUGCCACUUAUGUACAUACGGCUUCAUACUCGCUUGAAACACAGAUAAACCUGAGUGCUGUGGCUACCAGCAGGAUGGAGCAGGCAAUCAGACUUUGUUUAACCACUGAGUUGCUUGUGCCUGUGUGGUUCUUCUUGGACAAAGCAUCCUAAAGAAUUUUGCAAAGGAAAGAUAUUAAAGCAAAGUCAAGCAGAAUGCUGGAAUAAGAUUCACUAAGUGGCAAGCAGGAGCGACAAUUUUUACCAGUAAGACAAACUCCUAUACAACUACCUGAUAGCAGCAGGAAGUGAAUAUUGAGGUAACAGGUCUUCUACGUUUAUUCCCUGGUGAUCCAUCUGUACUUGACUUCACUUCCCCAAACCUUUGCUGUGCUACCCAAUAUGUACAUAUGUAUACAUAUGCAUACACAUACAUAUAUGUAUUAUUCCAUCUGUUUGUAUUUCCAUAUUAACUGUCUCUUUCCCUGUUGCUGUAAGUCAG